rnacentral:rRNA from 1 species
GGGAGCUUGCUCCCGGAUGUUAGCGGCGGACGGGUGAGUAACACGUGGGUAACCUGCCUGUAAGACUGGGAUAACUCCGGGAAACCGGAGCUAAUACCGGAUAGUUCCUUGAACCGCAUGGUUCAAGGAUGAAAGACGGUUUCGGCUGUCACUUACAGAUGGACCCGCGGCGCAUUAGCUAGUUGGUGAGGUAACGGCUCACCAAGGCGACGAUGCGUAGCCGACCUGAGAGGGUGAUCGGCCACACUGGGACUGAGACACGGCCCAGACUCCUACGGGAGGCAGCAGUAGGGAAUCUUCCGCAAUGGACGAAAGUCUGACGGAGCAACGCCGCGUGAGUGAUGAAGGUUUUCGGAUCGUAAAGCUCUGUUGUUAGGGAAGAACAAGUGCAAGAGUAACUGCUUGCACCUUGACGGUACCUAACCAGAAAGCCACGGCUAACUACGUGCCAGCAGCCGCGGUAAUACGUAGGUGGCAAGCGUUGUCCGGAAUUAUUGGGCGUAAAGGGCUCGCAGGCGGUUUCUUAAGUCUGAUGUGAAAGCCCCCGGCUCAACCGGGGAGGGUCAUUGGAAACUGGGAAACUUGAGUGCAGAAGAGGAGAGUGGAAUUCCACGUGUAGCGGUGAAAUGCGUAGAGAUGUGGAGGAACACCAGUGGCGAAGGCGACUCUCUGGUCUGUAACUGACGCUGAGGAGCGAAAGCGUGGGGAGCGAACAGGAUUAGAUACCCUGGUAGUCCACGCCGUAACGAUGAGUGCUAAGUGUUAGG